rnacentral:rRNA from 1 species
CCAGACUCCUACGGGAGGCAGCAGUGAGGAAUAUUGGUCAAUGGGCGAGAGCCUGAACCAGCCAAGUCGCGUGAGGGAAUAAGGCCCUAUGGGUCGUAAACCUCUUUUGUCAGGGAGCAAAGGCGUCCACGUGUGGACGAGAGGAGAGUACCUGAAGAAAAAGCAUCGGCUAACUCCGUGCCAGCAGCCGCGGUAAUACGGAGGAUGCGAGCGUUAUCCGGAUUUAUUGGGUUUAAAGGGUGCGUAGGCGGAGUGUAAAGUCAGGGGUAAAAUUUGGGGCCCCACCCCCGACAAGCCGUUGAAACUGGCUUGCUAGAGUGGGCGAGAAGUAUGCGGAAUGCGUGGUGUAGCGGUGAAAUGCAUAGAUAUCACGCAGAACUCCGAUUGCGAAGGCAGCAUACCGGCGCCCAACUGACGCUCAGGCACGAAAGCGUGGGUAUCGAACAGGAUUAGAUACCCGGGUA